CGGGGCCCAAGUCCACUAAAUAAAGUCCAUUAAAGUCAAUUAGGAAGAAGGACAAAAGAAACCUUACACACAUGCAGGGGUGAGAUUAGCUUGAUAAGGGGUGUACCGGGAACCUUCUUAUAUUAGAAAUAGAAUAAACGUGUACUCCAUAGAAACUAUAGUUUCUAGAAGCUAGCACAUUUAGCACAUGUUUUAUCAAUUUGGAACGUGAUCCAUCUUGGAUGAACACGUUUUCAUCACCAGCCAAAGGAUNAGGAGUCUAUAAAACUCACCUUGGCUGCACCAUGUAUUCACUUUUGGAAUAUAAGAGAAUUUAUGCUGAUGCAUUUUCCAGCCAUUUUCUCUGCACUGAAAGUCCAUCCUUGAGCUUCCCCUUUCUCUCCUCUAGCUUCCUUCCAGGAUGGAAGGCUGUCUGAGCUAGAUACCAUAUCCACCAUUAGCUCAUUCUUCCACCAACGUCAAUCACCAAAUCCACUGAACCGCAAUUCUUCCGCUGCAUUUGAAUAUAGUGAGUGCAUUCUACCUCUGCUCACGGCUCCAAUCAACCAUUCCACUGCGUCAACAUUCCCAGGGCUGGAACGCACUCUAUCAUGUUGUAUUCAGAGCCUAGGUUGCUCACGGUGCUUUGAUUGUUCCAGCUAAGUCCACUUUUCUUCGUUUCAUACUGUCAUCAUCAUUCCAUUCUUGUUUUCUUUGUUG
rnacentral:lncRNA from 1 species